rnacentral:rRNA from 1 species
UACUUUGCUGACGAGCGGCGGACGGGUGAGUAAUGCUUGGGAACAUGCCUUGAGGUGGGGGACAACAGUUGGAAACGACUGCUAAUACCGCAUAAUGUCUACGGACCAAAGGGGGCUUCGGCUCUCGCCUUUAGAUUGGCCCAAGUGGGAUUAGCUAGUUGGUGAGGUAAUGGCUCACCAAGGCAACGAUCCCUAGCUGGUUUGAGAGGAUGAUCAGCCACACUGGGACUGAGACACGGCCCAGACUCCUACGGGAGGCAGCAGUGGGGAAUAUUGCACAAUGGGCGCAAGCCUGAUGCAGCCAUGCCGCGUGUGUGAAGAAGGCCUUCGGGUUGUAAAGCACUUUCAGUCAGGAGGAAAGGUUAGUAGUUAAUACCUGCUAGCUGUGACGUUACUGACAGAAGAAGCACCGGCUAACUCCGUGCCAGCAGCCGCGGUAAUACGGAGGGUGCGAGCGUUAAUCGGAAUUACUGGGCGUAAAGCGUACGCAGGCGGUUUGUUAAGCGAGAUGUGAAAGCCCCGGGCUCAACCUGGGAACUGCAUUUCGAACUGGCAAACUAGAGUGUGAUAGAGGGUGGUAGAAUUUCAGGUGUAGCGGUGA